rnacentral:tRNA from 1 species
GGCUCGUUAGCUCAGUCGGUAGAGCGCCGAUUCCAAAUCGGGGUCGGAGGUUCGAAUCCUUCACGAGUCG